rnacentral:rRNA from 1 species
UACGUAGGUGGCGAGCGUUGUCUGGAUUUACUGGGCGUAAAGAGCGCGCAGGCGGUCGUACAAGUCGCGUGUGAAAGCCCCUGGCUCAACUGGGGAGGGUCACGCGAUACUGUUCGACUCGAAGGCAGGAGAGGGAAGUGGAAUUCCCGGCGUAGCGGUGAAAUGCGUAGAUAUCGGGAGGAACACCUGUGGCGAAAGCGGCUCUCUGGACCACAACUGACGCUGAGGCGCGAAAGCUAGGGGAGCAAACAGG